AAUGUUCUUUCAUUCCAGGCUUCUGUAGAUGUUAACUUAGACUUGCGGCAGGAGACUGGUUUUGUGUGAGUUUGCCUGGGGAAGAAAAUGGAGGUUCCACUGUCUUCUGGGAGUUUUCCGUGGGCACUGACAACCUGCUCGUGUGCCCAGGGCCAAAAUCUGUUAUUCCAUCUCAAUCUUAGAACCCACGAUCACAGCUCAUCCUGGGUUUAAAGGAGGGCCUAUGAGAUGAGAAGCUUUUUGGACAUAUGACCAACAUUCAGAUAAAACACCUGCUCCCACCAAGAACCUUCAAAGCCAAUUUCAUCUGCUUUUGGCCCCUUCAGAGUAGCUGCAAUUGAAGGAUAAAUGCUCCAUGCCAGUUGGUGUUUGUUCAGAGGACACUGGAAGAAGAGGGACAAAGGUGGCCUGGAUGUUGAUCUGCGAGCCUAAGUCUAUGGUUCUCUGAAGCGAAGGUGCCAGUGAAGUUGCUUCAUAAAAAAAAAAAACAAAAAAAAACCUUCCAGAAUCUUCCAUUGGAGAAUUGUCACCUGCAAAGACCUCUGAGAGGAUUCUCCCCUCAAGAGUAAAUUGUCAUAAGGGCUCCCCAUGACGGUUUAUUUUUGCUGUCUUUCCACGAUGGAGAAAAGAGAGAAGAUUGGAAAUGGGGCCGCGUGGAAAUGAAACCGGGACUCCAGGUGAAGAGACAGACACAGCCCCCCAGCAAAACGCAGAAGCGAGAGGAAACCCUGAAGACCCACGGUGGGUGCGGAAUUCUUGUGGGGGAGGGGAUCGCUCCUGCUUUUGCCGCAAAGGACAGGAGCUGUUGUCUGUCUUUGAGUCACGCGAACCACUUGCAGGAAGAGCUGUAGAGAAUUUGGGAAGUGGGGGGGGGGGGGGGGGUGGCUGGGAAGGAGAGACAAAAGGUGCGUUGUUUUCCGAGAAGCCGGAAGACGUAAGGAAAAGAAGCUGUUCUCAAGUGUGUCGCCUGCAGCCUUGUGAGGUAACAUUUCUUUAGAUGGCUUCUCUUCCCCUCCCUCGUGCCCAGCUGGCUCUUCAUCAUUUUUUAAACAUCUCUUUGGGGCGCAGGACAUGAAAGUGAACGGCAGGUCAAAGUCAGGAGUUCGGGGUUCUGGGGUGGUUUGGUCUGAUAGCCUCUCUUCCUCUGUGGCUGUGCCCUUAGUGGG